rnacentral:snRNA from 1 species
GUCUUCACUUUGGCAGCACAUAUAGUAAAAUUGGAACAAUACAGAGAGGAUUAGCGUGGCCUCUGCUCAAGGAUGACGUGCAAAUUCAUGAAGCGUUCCAUAUUUUU